UCAACUUGUCCGACCCCACUAUAUCCCCACGUUUCCUCUCUCUUCACGAUUCAAUUAUCACUCCCUCUUUCCUCUUCUCUCUACUCAAACCCUAGAACACUCCUCCCCGCCGUCGCAAACCGUUGAAGUACAGAAGAUGAAUCAGUUUUAUGCACCAAAUCAGAAAAGCUUCGUUCAUUAUCUUCAAUCUCAGUUCUUUGCAAAUCACCCCGCAGAUAUACACAAGAAGCAUUAGAUUUACGCCUUCUUAGUUUAAGCAGUUGGUGUGUGCGCGAAGCUUGUGCGAUUGAGGCGCGGAGGCUGCUGUUCGAUGGUGCGGCUUGGAUGCAGGGUGCAGUCGACUGCUCGGAACUUAGAUUAAUGUUGUUGUUGCUUUGAGGUUGUUGUUAUUGUUCGAUUGAUGGUGGUGCUUUGUAUGGUGUUGUGUGAACGCCGAGAUUGAAUUAUGUACAUCGAACAAGACUUUUUAUAGUUUAGUGAAAUUGUUAAAAAACUUAUGGUGGUUUGAGAGAAGAAAAGUUAUUUACAGCAAAUUUUAGUAAAAAAGACGUGAAGCCAAGGCAUUGUGAGUAAGUUGCGUGUUAGAACUUAUGGUGGAAACUAUGUACAAACAAUGUGUUUUUUAUGAAUGAAUAUGCAUAAUGGAUGUUACGUGAA